rfam:Oryza barthii chromosome 5, whole genome shotgun sequence.
AAAAAGGCAAACCCUGGGUUUCCGUCUCCAACUUUGAUUGUCCGUCUUAUAUGAAAUUUUUUUUAUAAUUCGUACUUUUAUUGUUGUUAGAUGAUAAAACAUGAUUAAUACUUUGUGCGUGACUUGUGUUUUUAAUUUUUUAAAUAAAACGGACGGUCAAACGUUGGACGCGAAAACCAGGGUUUGUCUUUCU